GGGUUGUGAGGUUAAGCGACUAAGCGUACACGGUGGAUGCCCUGGCAGUCAGAGGCGAUGAAGGACGUGCUAAUCUGCGAUAAGCGCCGGUAAGGUGAUAUGAACCGUUAUAACCGGCGAUUUCCGAAUGGGGAAACCCAGUGUGACUCGUCACACUAUCAUUAACUGAAUCCAUAGGUUAAUGAGGCGAACCGGGGGAACUGAAACAUCUAAGUACCCCGAGGAAAAGAAAUCAACCGAGAUUCCCCCAGUAGCGGCGAGCGAACGGGGAGGAGCCCAGAGCCUGAAUCAGCAUGUGUGUUAGUGGAAGCGUCUGGAAAGGCGCGCGAUACAGGGUGACAGCCCCGUACACAAAAGCGCAUGUGCUGUGAGCUCGAUGAGUAGGGCGGGACACGUGGUAUCCUGUCUGAAUAUGGGGGGACCAUCCUCCAAGGCUAAAUACUCCUGACUGACCGAUAGUGAACCAGUACCGUGAGGGAAAGGCGAAAAGAACCCCGGCGAGGGGAGUGAAAAAGAACCUGAAACCGUGUACGUACAAGCAGUGGGAGCCCCACCACUAAGCCAGUGGUGAACUCCACAUACGCAUCCUUUGCUGAGGAUACGGUUAACGGAGCGAAAGCGACGUUCAACCUCAAAAGAAGCAGAGGGGGCUUAGUGGUGGGGUGACUGCGUACCUUUUGUA
rnacentral:rRNA from 1 species